GGGGCAGUAGCUCAGGGGUAGAGCCCCGCUUUUUAUGCGGGAAGAUCUGGGUUCGAUUGCCUGCUGCUUAC
rfam:Toxocara canis scaffold1929, whole genome shotgun sequence.